rnacentral:misc_RNA from 1 species
UUUUGCUACUCUAUUUCUGUGUGUGAUUUUUUUAUCUGACCAGAGCAUAGUUUAUGGCAUUGAAUUUCCGCUGCAAUUGUGUUCGCUGAUUUUCAACUCUGUUUAGCUUUCUCUUUUCUUUUAUACGGAAAAAGGACGAAACACAAGGAGAACGCUGCAGUUUCCAUGGGCUUCUUUUUCACAAAGCCCGACUUUACGGAAGUUGGGAGACUCUGCACGGUGAAAUGCUGGUUCUUG